rnacentral:tRNA from 1 species
UGAUCUCGUAGCUCAGCAGGUAGAGCAUCUCCCUUUUAAGGAGAGGGUCCUGGGUUCGAAUCCCAGCGGGAUCACCC